rnacentral:tRNA from 2 species
GGGGGUAUAGCUCAGCUGGGAGAGCACCUGCCUUGCAAGCAGGGGGUCACGAGUUCGAAUCUCGUUAUCUCCA